CACCGCCCGUCACACCAUGGGAGUUGGAUUGACCCGAAGGCAAUGAGCUAACCCGCAAGGGAGGCAGCUGACCACGGUCGGUUCAGCGACUGGGGUG
rnacentral:rRNA from 1 species